rnacentral:tRNA from 1 species
AGGAUUAUAGUUAAAUAUAACAUUUGAUUUGCAUUCAAAAAGUGUUGAUUAUCAACUUAUCUUA